rnacentral:rRNA from 1 species
AGUCGAGCGAGACCUUCGGGUCUAGCGGCGGACGGGUGAGUAACGCGUGGGAACGUGCCCUUCUCUACGGAAURGCCCCGGGAAASUGGGAGUAAUACCGUAUACGCCCUUUGGGGGAAAGAUUUAUCGGAGAAGGAKCGGCCCGCGUUGGAUUAGGUAKUUGGUGGGGUAAUGGCCCRCCAAGCCGACGAUCCAUAGCUGGKUUGAGAGGAUGAUCAGCCACACUGGGACUGAGACACGGMCCAGACUCCUACGGGAGGCAGCAKKGGGGAAUCUUASACAAUGGGGGCAACCCUGAUCUAGCCAUGCCGCGUGAGUGAUGAAGGCCUUAGGGUUGUAAAGCUCUUUCAGCUGGGAAGAUAAUGACGGUACCAGCAGAARAAKCCCCGGCUAACUCCGWGCCAGCRSCCGCGGWAAUACGGAGGGGGCURGCGUUGUUCGGAAUUACUGGGCGUAAAGCGCACGUASGCGGACUGGAAAGUCAGAGGUGAAAUCCCAGGGCUCAACCUUGGAACUGCCUUUGAAACUAUCAGUCUGGAGUUCKAGAGAGGWGAGUGGAAUUCCGAGUGUAGAGGUGAAAUUCSUAKAUAUUCKGAGGAACACCAGUGGCGAAGGCGGCUCACUGGCUCGAUACUGACGCUGARGUGCGAAAGCGUGGGGAGCAAACAGGAUUAGAUACCCUGGUAKUCCRCGCCGUAAACGAUGAAUGCCAGACRUCGGCARGCAUGCUUGUCGGUGUCAC